UUCGCGUAUUUCAAGAGACGAAAAUCUGGGUUUGUCGGUCAGUAUCGGGGAUGCUGCGCUCCAUGCAGCAUCCCUUCAUCUCGUAAAGUAAUUUUUCACGAUCCAAUGAAAUAGUUCUCGACCGUCGUGCUUCAAAGUAUCCUUCUCGGCCAGUAAAAUAAUUUUAUUGCGUCUCGAUGUGUCUCGUGUUAAAAAUCAGUCGUUUCUCAAACGUGUUCGGUCGUAAAAUAACGUGUAAUAAAAUUUUACGGCUCUGUUCGUUUUCGUAGAAAAAUAGUGACUUCAAUGAUCAUUCCACGUCUUCGUUCUUGUAUUCGGCACAACGCGAGCGGAGAACAGAGGAGGCUGGAUAAUAGCGACGGAGGAACCGGAAAGCAUAAACCCGCGCAAAAGUGGAAGCCACUUCAAGCGUUUUCUGCGGCCCAACCCUUCCGAAAAUUAUCCACGGCGACCUGGCCAGACACGUCCUACCCUAACACGGGAUGAGGAGCAUUCUUUGUCGAUAUUAUACUCUUGAAAAAAUUUUAUCAAAUCAAAAAGAUAGAUUCGUAAAGAGAGGAACGAUUAAACGUUUCUUUAGUUUCGAUAUAGUGGAGAAAAAAUUUUCUUUAAAAGAUACAGAAAUUAUAGUAACGAGAAAAUAAGAUAAUUCGUGUUCCAUUGGACAUUCUUCAUCGAUAUUAUCUGCUUUUGAAAAUAUUUCGAGCUAAGAAUAUGAAGGAAAAAAAAAAGUGGUGACAAAAUUUGUCUUCCAUUUUAAUAGGAAAAAUAUUUUAUCUUCUGAAAAUAUUUUCUUUAAAAAAAGAAGAUCUCAAUUGUAAUAGAAAGAAAAUAAUACAUUUCGUAUUUCGUCAGCACAAAACUUCGUACAAAAUUCAAAAAAGGAAAAAUAGAGAAGAUAUGCGAGUAAAUAGAAGAGGAAGCAAAAGCUUUUAAAUUGUGGAUAAAACUGGAAAAUGAUAAAAUUCAAAAAGAUUGAAAGAGACACGUGUUACAUCGUACCGUUGCAGUUUUUAUAAAGAAACAAAGAAAAAUAAAUCUAUCUUCGAAUAAAAAUUAAGGAAAAAUCUUAACAAACGAUUUUUUAUAUCGAACAUUAUCAAUCAUUGAAACAAAUAAUGAAAUAAUAUUAUUCUAAAUUACAAAACGCGAUUCGAAUUAUAAAAUAUACAAAAGAAUUUCAGGAAAAACUUGAAAUUUUCAUUUCGAAACAAUAAGAAACAACAACUUGUAAAACUUUUCGCAAAAUUCAUGAUGAUAUUUAUUGGAAAGACAAAAAUUUUAUUUGACGCAACGCCAUUACAUAAAUGUGGUUGUGCUACUUUCAGCAUUGCCACGCCCCUGUGCUGCAACCUUAACUUCCGACACCACCUAUAAUAAACCCUUUAAGCUCCCAUGUGCAUCGCAUACUCCUCCUUUUCCCCGUCCCCUAUAUCCAGGGUCGUCCAAAGUUCAAAGUUCUUUUGACGGUCAGAACUUUUUCCGUUUCAUAAACUGGCUCUGGUACAAUCCCUGACAAAGUUUCUUUCGUGGAACAGAGCCAUCUCGAAAUUACCACAUCGCGGCCUUCUCCAUUAAAUUUUCCCAAGUUUUUCGCAACAAAAUCGACACUUUGGAGAAUAAAUUUUUGAAGACACUCGUUGAAUAAAUUGGAAUUUAUUCGCAGCUCAAACAAGAAAAGAAGAGCGAUAGUAGAAAGCGAUACAAAUUUUUUAAUAGAAGUAUCAAUAUUCGAUAUCAAAAUUUUCAAUCGAUCGACCAAUCGUAUCAAAAUUAUAAAAUCUUGUUAUUUUAGAUAAAGAUAAGAAGAAUUGAUUCACUGAGGAUGAAGAAGUACGUUCACAUUGAAAAUUUAUUAGACAAUAAAUAAUUCAUUAAGUAACAAUUAAUGAAAAUAUAUAAAAAUAAUAACAUGUUUCGAAGAAAAGAAUUAUUAAACAUCAAUUACUAUAAAAUAUUCAAUAAGAAAUCAAACUCUAACUAACUAACAAACAAAAUUACCAACACAAAAUUUUGAACAUAGUCAGGGAACAAAAACAAGCAUGCUAAAAAUUUCAAUCGAAACGCAAAUAAAAAGAGAGUGCGAAAAAGCUAGAAAUUCGACAACGCAAACACAUUGCAAAAAGUAAUUCAUUUUGCAUAAUCUAAAGUUAAAAAACGAUCCCAAUUAAAAUUCUAAACACGGCGAAGGAGUUUACAGUUGGAAGCAUCGAAAUUCAUCUCUGGCAGGAUUUGAAAAGGCACACGCUAUAAAUUUCCGGUGUAAAAAAGGCGGCAGAAGGAAAUAUCUUUCCCUAGGCAAGACGAAAGAAAGAAAUGGCCCCGGCUUUCCAAUUAGCAUUCUUACUCCUGCCGCUGCAGGCAAAUGUCGGCUUUAGGGGGUGGCGAGUGUGCAACAUAAACCGCGCGAUAAAACGCCGCUGGCACGUGUAUAUCACCCACACAUACAGCCACUUCUUUUUCAUUUUAGUUUCUCGCACGGCAGGGUAGAAAGCGGUAAAGUAGAAACGGCAGAAACACGGCCAAGAAGAGUUUAUAAUGCUCUCCUCGCGCUGCUCCGACACUCUGCCACUUCGCCGACUAACUGCAGGUGGUUCUCAAAAUUUCUCUCCCGUUUCACAAUAUGCUUCCUUCGACUUAUGAUGACAUCUUCGAUCCGCAAUAUCGAAUUCAUUAUUUGGAGAGCUUGUAUCUCGUUGAUGCGAUAAGACGAAGAUAGGAGAAAGAAUGAAACGAUAUAUAUAUUUUUAGAAUGCAAAAGUGAUACAAUUGUGUAAUCUAAAAAUGUAGUAGAGAUAUCGUUGAACUUUUGAUUUGAUCAGGAAAAUUGAUGCAACUGGAGAUGUUAUAUCGUAAUCUAAUAAUAUAUAUUUAAUAAAUUUACAAUUCUAAAAAAGAAGAAAUUUCAAGAAACGAAAAUAAUGAAAUCUCAAUAUUACAAAUUACAAUAUGAUAUCAAACAAUUGGAUAUCAAACGAACCACGAUCAAAAUUCAAAGAAUUCUCACAAGAAAUCACACAAAAAUCGUGCAUCGUUCUCAUUCUCUCUUAGAACCAUUCAAAAAACAUUCAAUCAUCACUUUAACUCAUUCAAACGCAACACCAUUCAAACCAAAGAACAGAAAAACAAAUUUCAAAAUAUCCAUAGAUCGAUUCACAUAAUCGUUUUUUCAUUAUCUCGUCUCAUCUCGUGAAGAAAGGCAACUCAAAAAGACUAUUCGCAAAAAUCAAUUCGAAACGAAAGAUUCGCAUUCUCUUCCUUGAAAAUGAAGAGUUGAGAGUCACGGCGGUGGAGGAGCUCGGUAUUUUUAACCCUUCGCGAGAAAUUCACGCCACGAAGACGUCGAAAAAGCAGUGUCUCGGCUCACGGUUCGCAGGAGGGAUAGCUGGCCGGUCAAAAGUUUCGCGGCCGCCACCCCCGCAGCAGCCAGUUCGUUUUUCUCCCCUUUUCUUCAACGGCGGCGACUCUUAAGCGGCGAGAAACCGAGAAAACGCGCGGAGUCGUCGACAAUUCCGGCAUGCGGCCCGCUAAUUAUUUAAUUAUUUAUUUACCGAGUUCAUUCCGCCGGAUUAUACUUCUCCCCUCCCCUCCCCCACGGCAAGUUUCAUUCUUUAUCGCGGCCCUAUUAGCAUGCAACCAGCCACCUAUUGCCCGGCUACCUGGCCGACUAAUUGUUUACUAAGCGGCCCUUUGCUGCCCGACCUUUUCGCGCUAAUCAGCGGACCCACGGUUUUAAACAACUUCCGCCGAGUUUAAACGACACCGCGACACGCGGCCAUACUUUAUUCAUGCGCAGACUAUUCGCCACAUUUCUGUAAACCACUGCGCCCUAUUCGCUUUGUGCCGACGUUCGACUACGAUCCAAUGUUAAUUUCCAACUUUGAAUAUCACUAUAGUUUUCUGGGUUUCAGUUUAAGACCUUUCGACUGAAAUAUAUUGUAUUUUUGGAAUAAUUUUUAUUUUGUCAUAUGUUAUUAACUAUGAUUAAAAAUUUUGAUAUUUUGGAAAUUUUAAUUUUUAUCGUAAAAUAGAUGUGAAAAAAAAGUUGCGAAAUUAUAUAAUUCCAUUUUAUAACUUGAAUAUGAAGUGUGGACUCCGUUGGUUAGUACAAUUUUUGUCAUAAAAAUCUUGCAAACAUUUGUUACAUUUGACGGUUGGAACAGUGUAUUCGAAACAUUUUUGUCAAUGCUCAUGCCCAUCAGUUAAAAUUGGUAUUAUUAUAUUCGCCGAUAAAGAAUCAAUUAUCCAAAAAUAAUUUCAUUAAUGUGGAAAUCAAAUUUCACGGCCAAGGUUACAAUAAUCGGUGAAAAAGAAGAGAGAAUUAAAUCCGUCCGUUAUUAAUAAAAUAAUUACUGUUAUUAAAUAAUUGUUUGAUGUAGAUAUUAAUAUAUAGCGGAAUAUUAAUACCAUGUGAAUCUAUCGGAAAAUUGAAGGUAAGAAUGUAAAUUAUUCGCUGAGCUGUUAUUUUCGAUAAUUUGAUGCGGGAGGCAAUUGAAUGAAAGUGGAAAUAAUUAAAAGUGGCUGUGUCAACGAAAGGGAAAUUAAUGCUUUAAUUGAUGGGACGGUUUUAAUAAUUUUAUGAAGCGCGAAUAUCUCGUUCAUUCAAACAAACUCAAUAGCAUUAAUGAGCGUGUCGUUCUCCUCAGUGGAAGGUAAAAUAUUUCGUGGCUGCGAAUAAACGUGAAAUUUUGCGGCGUACGCGUUAAACCCGUAUCGUUGUACAGAAAUUAUUUGAUUAAAAAUUAAUAUUUAUUUCCGAUCAUACGCGCAACUAAUUAUUUGUGCAACAAUCUUUUGGUUUCAUUUCAACACCUUUUAUAUAUCGAUGCGCUAUUUCCAGAUAUUUUUGUAAUAUUCGUUAUACGAGCACAAUUUGCACAAAUUAAUCGCAUUGUUUCGGUUUGCUUUCUAAUAUUUUACGAAAUAUGAAUUUUCGAUAACAUUUUGGCAAAUAUUAAUCAAUAAAAAUAACACAUUGUCGAACGAAAUUGGAAUAACUGGAAGCAAAGAAGAAAAAUUGAAUAAAGAUUUUUGGAAACAAGAAA